rnacentral:rRNA from 1 species
AGUGAACGCUGGCGGUAGGCCUAACACAUGCAAGUCGAACGGUAGCACAGUAAGAGCUUGCUCUUACGGGUGGCGAGUGGCGGACGGGUGAGGGAUAAAUCGGAAUCUACUUUUUCGUGGGGGAUAACGUAGGGAAACUUACGCUAAUACAGCAUACGACCUACGGGUGAAAGCAGGGGUUCUUCGGACCUUGCGCGAUUGAAUGAGCUGAUGUCGGAUUAGCUAGUUGGUGGGGUAAAGGCCCACCAAGGCGACGAUCCGUAGCUGGUCUGAGAGGAUGAUCGGCAACACUGGAACUGAGACACGGUCCAGACUCCUACGGGAGGAAGCAGUGGGGAAUAUUGGACAAUGGGCGAAAGCCUGAUCCAGCAAUACCGCGUGGGUGAAGAAGGCCUUCGGGUUGUAAAGCCCUUUUGUUGGGAAAGAAAAGCAGCAGGUUAAUACCCCGCUGUUCUGACGGUACCCAAAGAGUAAGCACCGGCUAACUUCGUG